rnacentral:rRNA from 1 species
AUUGAACGCUGGCGGCAUGCUUUACACAUGCAAGUCGAACGGCAGCAUGGGCUUCGGCCUGAUGGCGAGUGGCGAACGGGUGAGUAAUACAUCGGAACGUACCUGAUAGUGGGGGAUAACUGACCGAAAGGUUAGCUAAUACCGCAUACGCCCCGAGGGGGAAAGUGGGGGACCAGCAAUGGCCUCACGCUAACAGAGGGGCUGAUGGCUGAGUAGCUAGUUGGUGAGGUACAGGCUCACCAAGGCGACGAUCGGUAGCGGGUCAUGGAGGACGAUCAGCGACGCUGGAACUCAGACACGGGCCAGACGACGUCGGGAGGCAGGAGUGGGGAAUCUUGGACAAUGGGCGCAAGCCUGAUCCAGCAAGGCCGCGUGGGUGAAGAAGGCCUUCGGGUUGUAAAGCCCUUUUGUUAGAGAGCAAGUCCUAACGGUUAUUACCUGUUGGGGAUGAGAGUACCAAAAGAAUCAGCACCGGCUAACUACGUGCCAGCAGCCGCAGUAACAC